GUCUUCAUAUAGCCCACCUGCGCCGCAACUCCUCUCUUCUCCAUUCCCAGUCCCCACCUCCUCGAUCCUCGCCGUCGCAUGGGCGCUGCGGAGGCCUCCGCCGGCGGCUAAAGCUUGCCGGGUAGGCGAGUCGCCGUUGUUCAGCUUCCUACUCCUCCUGGAUUUCGUCCCCUAUGUUUUGGUUUUGCUCGUUGUUUGUUCCCCCCUUGCUGUAGGUUGGAGACGCUGGUGUGGUGGUGGUUUUGCUGGUUCAGCGGCGCGGAGCCGAGCUUGUUAGCAUGGCCGAGCGCCUCCUGAGACCAGCCACAUGGAUCCGUCGAUCAACUGACCGAGUGUCUCCUUGCCCCCACGGAUUCGCUCUUGUCAAGAUCUGACACAUUCCCCCAAUUCCUUCAUAUUCGUAUCCGCCACAGCAGCGCAGUUCUCUCAGCGAUUUUUUUUCCUUUUGGGGUUGUGGGUUUCUGUUUGGUUUGAUUCGAGAACCCUCCCUCGUCGGAGGAGAGGAGAGAGCUGGUGAUGUGGCGUCGGGGACGGCACCGAUUCCCCGGCCGCCUCCCAUACCCAGCGACACCGACGGAGCUCGCCGCUUCCUGGCAGCCAUCGUCACAGCCACGGGCGGGCUCGGCUACUUCUCGAUUUGGGUCCGCUCAUGCCCCGGCUGCUACAGCAGAUCCCAAGGAUCAAUCAACGUGCUCGAUCGCUCUUAUCAGAUUCGUUGCCGUAGUAGCCUCGCCCAUUUCUGGUGGAAACUGAAGCACGCCGUGAGGUUAUUUCUCGAUUCGAAAAAAUUUCUUUUUUAUUCCACUAUCGAUUCGAAAGAAAUCAUCGAAUCCAGGUGUAAGUCAGGUGGCAGCGUGACACCCUACCCCUCUCGGGGAGGAUGAGCUGCCACAGUUACACGCCUGGGAGACCAACCCGACCCGGGGGUGCCCUUUCGUUACGCGCGCCGCGUUGCCAAUCGUGGCACGCGUACAUCAGGGCUCCACAUUUCGCGUUUCCUCUAGGUCGCAAUGCGAUUUUUUUUCCAACUUUGGCCUCACUUUUGAGUGGAUUUGGUGGUGUUGUCAGCUGAAGCAAAUUAAACUCGAAUACGAAUCUUAAGUUCGCCUGUUCUCUGGGAACUGAAGAUGUGGUCAUGAUGCGGACAGAGAAAAACGGCUGAUUUAUUAUGAGAGGAAAAUACUGUUUGAUGGCUGAUAAGCCGGCUGAAUAAGCUGAAGCGAACAGGCUCGAGGGUUAUUCGUGUCAAAUCAAAGCCAAGCACCAGCUUGCUCAACCAAUUCGAAUGCUGUCAUUGCUUCCUCGUGGAGAUGACGUUUAAGUGACCAAUUUGGAAGUACUAAGGUUGAAGGUUGAAUUUUUGUUUUGUGAAUGAAGUAGAA
rnacentral:lncRNA from 1 species